rnacentral:rRNA from 1 species
UACGGAGGGUGCAAGCGUUACUCGGAAUUACUGGGCGUAAAGCGCACGCAGGUGGCUGAGUCAGUCGAUUGUGAAAGCCCUGGGCUUAACCUGGGAAUUGCAGUCGAUACUACUCAGCUAGAGUAUGGGAGAGGGCAGUGGAAUUCCCGGUGUAGCGGUGAAAUGCGUAGAUAUCGGGAGGAACAUCAGUGACGAAGGCGGCUGCCUGGCCCAAUACUGACACUCAGGUGCGACAGCGUGGGGAGCAAACAGG